UAAUACGGGGGGAGCAAGCGUUGUUCGGAUUUACUGGGCGUAAAGGGCGCGUAGGCGGUCAGCACAAGUCGGUUGUGAAAUCUCCGAGCUUAACUCGGAAAGGUCAACCGAAACUGUGCGACUAGAGUGCGGAAGGGGCAACUGGAAUUCUUGGUGUAGCGGUGAAAUGCGUAGAUAUCAAGAGGAACACCUGCGGCGAAGGCGGGUUGCUGGGCCGACACUGACGCUGAAGCGCGAAAGCCAGGGGAGCGAACGGGAUUAGAUACCCCGGUAGUCCUGGCCUUAAACGAUGAAUGCUUGGUGUCUGGGGUUAUAAAGUCCCCGGGUGCCGUCGCUAACGCUUUAAGCAUUCCGCCUGGGGAGUACGGUCGCAAGACUG
rnacentral:rRNA from 1 species